rnacentral:lncRNA from 12 species
ACGCACUCCCGACCUGCUGUUUGCUGUUGAAACGGUCCUCAAAGUGGACCAAGAAUCUUAACAUAAGGUAAUGAACAAUUUGUGUGUGACGUGGCAGUGAUCGUGAUUGGAAUAGUAGCAGACUAGAGAUUUAAAGGAUUUAAAGGUCUUCUGCCGCCAACAAAACAAAAAUACUUAGAAUUUUUAAAACACCCAGAGUCUUGGGGUGACUGGGUGGCUUAAUUGGUUGAGCACCU